UAAGAUAUGUGCAGUGUGCAUAGGGAUUUGUUCAUAGUUUUUUUUUAAACUAUAGUCCGGCCCUCCAAUGGUUUGAAGGACAGUGAAUUGGCCCCCUGUUUUAAAAGUUUGAGGACCCCUGGUGUGAGGGAUGAUGCUAUAACCAA